UACGAAGGGGGCAAGCGUUGUUCGGAGUUACUGGGCGUAAAGGGUGUGUAGGCGGUUGGAUAAGUGUGGUGUGAAAUCUCCCGGCUCAACUGGGAGGGUGCGCUACAAACUGUCUGACUAGAGUGUGGGAUGGGUAAGUGGAAUUCCUGGUGUAGCGGUGAAAUGCGUAGAUAUCAGGAGGAACACCGGUGGCGAAGGCGGUUCUCUGGGCAUUACCUGACGCUGAGGAGCGAAAGUGUGGGGAGCGAACAGG
rnacentral:rRNA from 1 species